ACUUUUAACUAAUAAAUUGCGCUUGUAGAACUGUUGUAUAAAAGCAAUAUCACACUCGAGGUCUUGCUGUUAUACUGAAUAUUAUUAUCUGCGGCCUCGUACCCACGACCGAAUCACAGCGGUGCUGAUAUCCAGCACUCCCUCUCAUGUAAUAUCGAGCUACAUAAGCUAGGCCUAUAAAUAAAAAGUCAAAGACGGUCCAAAUCUUUGAGCCAUCUAACAACACCAUGAAUGAAGAUGGAAUGGAUGACACAUAUCUGGGCAUGGAUCAUAUAUCAACCGCAAUAUUAAAAGCUGCUAAUAUAAGCACAGACAUGCUGCCCAGCUUCUCUAAGGAGGAUUUACGUGAUCUCUUUCCCGGGCCAGAGCACUUCAGAAGGAGAACCAUUUGGAGAUCUACUCAUGGUGAAAAUGAGCCUGGAUCCCACCACACGCCCUGUCCAACUCCACUAACCCCACCAUACAAGGGUCUAACAUCAUAAAAC
rnacentral:lncRNA from 1 species